GGGCUGAAAAUUCUAGA
rnacentral:piRNA from 1 species